ensembl:lncRNA
AAGUUUCAGAAAGGCUUGAUUCCUGCUCCAGGGCAGUCUGACAGUGACACACAAGUCAAGCACAUUCAGCUUCCAGAAUCUUUGAUAAUUGUGGUUUGUUUUUUGCUGUUGCUUCUCUACGGGGUGCUUUCUCUAAAAGGUGUCCCAGCACUGGAGCCUCCUGGAAAGCUAAAGCUGAUGACUAUCACCCAGGACCUCUGCUGCCAGUGUCACUGUCCCCACAGUGAGCCACAGCCACCCUGCCUUCCAGAAGACGCUCCAAGACCAGCAGGUAAUCUGGAUAUCGCUUGAUACUCUACAGACUGUUCUCAAUGGAUUGCCCUUCUUUGCUGGGCUGCAAAGCUUCCAGGAUCUUGGCAGCUGGGAAAUGAAAGGCAGAGGAUGAGAGCAAGGGGCAGGAACAACACAUGGAUGGAAACCUUUGGGGCCUGCUGGAAUAAGGAAAAUAACAAAUGCCUCUGCAUAAAGGCUUUCUCAGUUGCACAAAGAAACACUGUGAAAUGUCUAGUCCAGAAGGGGAUCCUCCACCCCAGUCUCCAUUUGGGGACGGUUUAGUUAUGACUGUGUUUUACCAUCUACAUAUUGGACUUGAUCCUAUUUCAAUUCAGUUGUCUAUUUCAACACCAUACUUUCA